rnacentral:rRNA from 1 species
GACGUAGGGGGCAAGCGUUGUUCGGAAUUAUUGGGCGUAAAGCGCUCGUAGGCGGGAUUGGAAGUCCGUGUUGAAAGACCUCGGCUCAACUGAGGGACCGGCUCGGAUACUCUAAUUCUUGAGGCAAUCAGAGGAUGAUGGAAUUCCCGGUGUAGCGGUGAAAUGCGCAGAUAUCGGGAAGAACACCCGUGGCGAAGGCGGCACUCUGGGACGGUACUGACGCUGAGACGCGAAAGCGUGGGGAGCGAACAGG